rfam:Serratia marcescens subsp. marcescens Db11, complete genome
UAGCCCUCUGAGUCGUGCGGGUGAGAUCCUGCGUUCAGGUUCGAGCAUCGCGCAGCGAUACGACAACGCGCAGCGUUGCCCGUAGGGUGAGGCCACAGGCCGAAUCAAUCCUGCACGACCCACCC